rnacentral:rRNA from 1 species
AUCGAACGCUGGCGGCAGGCCUAACACAUGCAAGUCGAACGAGUGGCGGACGGGUGCGUAAUGUCUGGGAAACUGCCUGAUGGAGGGGGAUAACUACUGGAAACGGUAGCUAAUACCGCAUACCAUCGGAUGUGCCCAGAGGGGAUUAGCUAGUAGGUGGGGUAAAGGCCCACCUAGGCGACGAUCCCUAGCUGGUCUGAGCGGAUGACCGGCCACGCUGGAACUGAGAAACGGUCCAGAGUGCUACGGGAGGCAGCAGUGGGGAAUAUUGCACGACGGGCGGAAGUCUGAUGCAGCAAUGCCGCGUGUAUGAAGAAGGGCUUCGGGUUGUAAAGUACUUUCAGCGGGGAGGCGUUACCCGCAGAAGAAGCACCGGCUAGCUCCGAGCCAGCAGCCGCGGUAAUAC